rnacentral:lncRNA from 1 species
ACAUGGUGAGGCUGGUAUAUAAACACUGGUCAAGAUUGACUCCAGUCAGACAAAUCUAGACCAUCCAAUCAAGAUUAUAUGAUACAGAUUUCAAGUUAGAAUUUUAGUUUUAAAAAUAAUAAGAUCUGAACUUAAAAUCUUGAUCAUCCGUUGAUCGGAGAGUGUGCCAAUGUUGUAACUGCACUAAAUCCAAAGUCAUAUAAACACCUAGCACGGUAAACCUAAAAAUUGCGUCCAUGUAUCUGAAAUGUUAAAUGAAGUCGUAUGAAACUCUAUUAAACUCCUUUGAUACAUAUUAUUGAAGCAAAUAGCACAUAAUAUCAUAAAUUCCAUAAUCCCACAUCACAACUGUUGAAAAUACCAGAACACAAGAAAUACCACAAUCACAUAUAUAUACCCAGCUCAAAGUGAGCUAGAUACAACUAACACUUUCAAGUUUCCAGCUGCUCAGAAACCAUGAAUUUUGAUAUGCUCCUUCUUC